rnacentral:rRNA from 1 species
GAUGAACGCUGGCGGCGUGCCUAAUACAUGCAAGUCGAGCGAACAGACGAGGAGCUUGCUCCUCUGACGUUAGCGGCGGACGGGUGAGUAACACGUGGAUAACCUACCUAUAAGACUGGGAUAACUUCGGGAAACCGGAGCUAAUACCGGAUAAUAUAUUGAACCGCAUGGUUCAAUAGUUAAAGUCGGUUUUGCUGUCACUUAUAGAUGGAUCCGCGCCGCAUUAGCUAGUUGGUAAGGUAACGGCUUACCAAGGCAACGAUGCGUAGCCGACCUGAGAGGGUGAUCGGCCACACUGGAACUGAGACACGGUCCAGACUCCUACGGGAGGCAGCAGUAGGGAAUCUUCCGCAAUGGGCGAAAGCCUGACGGAGCAACGCCGCGUGAGUGAUGAAGGUCUUCGGAUCGUAAAACUCUGUUAUUAGGGAAGAACAAAUGUGUAAGUAACUAUGCACGUCUUGACGGUACCUAAUCAGAAAGCCACGGCUAACUACGUG